AAGGGAGACCUAAUUCCGGUAGGAGACGAAAAAAAAGUAGUCCCAACUAAGAAUCAAUCCCAAAAGGUCGGAGCGAGGUAUGAGGCUUUCAAACUAGGUUCUGGGUUCAUAAAAGACCUGAAUCAGGAACAAGGGCUAUUAGCUCAGGUGGUUAGAGCGCACCCCUGAUAAGGGUGAGGUCCCUGGUUCGAGUCCAGGAUGGCCCACCUGCACAGGUGGCAAAAACAAGAGAAGCUCCGAAUCAGCACCUUAUCUUAUAUACAUAUAUAAGAGAGAAUGCUGGCUCUGAGUAAAGAGUCCAGAGGAACCUUGAAAACUGCAUAGAGCUAGGUGAAAAAGCCAAAAAAGAAGACCGCAA
rnacentral:tRNA from 1 species